rnacentral:rRNA from 1 species
AUAAUGGGUCAGCGACUUAUAUUCUGUAGCAAGGUUAACCGAAUAGGGGAGCCGAAGGGAAACCGAGUCUUAACUGGGCGUUAAGUUGCAGGGUAUAGACCCGAAACCCGGUGAUCUAGCCAUGGGCAGGUUGAAGGUUGGGUAACACUAACUGGAGGACCGAACCGACUAAUGUUGAAAAAUUAGCGGAUGACUUGUGGCUGGGGGUGAAAGGCCAAUCAAACCGGGAGAUAGCUGGUUCUCCCCGAAAGCUAUUUAGGUAGCGCCUCGUGAAUUCAUCUCCGGGGGUAGAGCACUGUUUCGGCAAGGGGGUCAUCCCGACUUACCAACCCGAUGCAAACUGCGAAUACCGGAGAAUGUUAUCACGGGAGACACACGGCGGGUGCUAACGUCCGUCGUGAAGAGGGAAACAACCCAGACCGCCAGCUAAGGUCCCAAAGUCAUGGUUAAGUGGGAAACGAUGUGGGAAGGCCCAGACAGCCAGGAUGUUGGCUUAGAAGCAGCCAUCAUUUAAAGAAAGCGUAAUAGCUCACUGGUCGAGUCGGCCUGCGCGGAAGAUGUAACGGGGCUAAACCAUGCACCGAAGCUGCGGCAGCGACGCUGAUGCGUUGUUGGGUAGGGGAGCGUUCUGUAAGCCUGUGAAGGUGUGCUGUGAGGCAUGCUGGAGGUAUCAGAAGUGCGAAUGCUGACAUAAGUAACGAUAAAGCGGGUGAAAAGCCCGCUCGCCGGAAGACCAAGGGUUCCUGUCCAACGUUAAUCGGGGCAGGGUGAGUCGACCCCUAAGGCGAGGCCGAAAGGCGUAGUCGAUGGGAAACAGGUUAAUAUUCCUGUACUUGGUGUUACUGCGAAGGGGGGACGGAGAAGGCUAUGUUGGCCGGGCGACGGUUGUCCCGGUUUAAGCGUGUAGGCUGGUUUUCCAGGCAAAUCCGGAAAAUCAAGGCUGAGGCGUGAUGACGAGGCACUACGGUGCUGAAGCAACAAAUGCCCUGCUUCCAGGAAAAGCCUCUAAGCAUCAGGUAACAUCAAAUCGUACCCCAAACCGACACAGGUGGUCAGGUAGAGAAUACCAAGGCGCUUGAGAGAACUCGGGUGAAGGAACUAGGCAAAAUGGUGCCGUAACUUCGGGAGAAGGCACGCUGAUAUGUAGGUGAAGUCCCUCGCGGAUGGAGCUGAAAUCAGUCGAAGAUACCAGCUGGCUGCAACUGUUUAUUAAAAACACAGCACUGUGCAAACACGAAAGUGGACGUAUACGGUGUGACGCCUGCCCGGUGCCGGAAGGUUAAUUGAUGGGGUCAGCGCAAGCGAAGCUCUUGAUCGAAGCCCCGGUAAACGGCGGCCGUAACUAUAACGGUCCUAAGGUAGCGAAAUUCCUUGUCGGGUAAGUUCCGACCUGCACGAAUGGCGUAAUGAUGGCCAGGCUGUCUCCACCCGAGACUCAGUGAAAUUGAACUCGCUGUGAAGAUGCAGUGUACCCGCGGCAAGACGGAAAGACCCCGUGAACCUUUACUAUAGCUUGACACUGAACAUUGAGCCUUGAUGUGUAGGAUAGGUGGGAGGCUUUGAAGUGUGGACGCCAGUCUGCAUGGAGCCGGCCUUGAAAUACCACCCUUUAAUGUUUGAUGUUCUAACGUUGACCCGUUAUCCGGGUUGCGGACAGUGUCUGGUGGGUAGUUUGACUGGGGCGGUCUCCUCCUAAAGAGUAACGGAGGAGCACGAAGGUUGGCUAAUCCUGGUCGGACAUCAGGAGGUUAGUGCAAUGGCAUAAGCCAGCUUGACUGCGAGCGUGACGGCGCGAGCAGGUGCGAAAGCAGGUCAUAGUGAUCCGGUGG